rnacentral:rRNA from 1 species
UACGUAGGGGCGUAGCGUUGUCCGGAUUUAUUGGGCGUAAAGAGCGUGUAGGCGGCCAGGUAGGUCUGCUGUGAAAACUCGAGGCUCAACCUCGAGACGUCGGCGGAAACCAUCUGGCUAGAGUCCGGAAGAGGAGAGUGGAAUUCCUGGUGUAGCGGUGAAAUGCGCAGAUAUCAGGAAGAACACCCGUGGCGAAGGCGGCUCUCUGGGACGGUACUGACGCUGAGACGCGAAAAGCGUGGGGAGCGAACAGG